rnacentral:misc_RNA from 1 species
CCGAGUUUCCAACUCCCAAACCCAUGUCAACCUACCGCACGUUGCUUCGGCGGACCGCCCCGGCGCCCGAACCCCCAGCGGGGGAGGCCCGGACCCAGGCGCCCGCCGGGGGACCCAAACUCUUGCAUCCGCCCCCCGGCGGCAGUCUCCCUCUGAGUGAAAAGAAAACGAAUCA